rnacentral:rRNA from 1 species
CCUACGGGCGGCAGCUGUGAGGAAUAUUGGUCAAUGGACGCAAGUCUGAACCAGCCAUGCCGCGUGCAGGAAGACGGCUCUAUGAGUUGUAAACUGCUUUUGUACGAGGGUAAACGCAGAUACGCGUAUCUGUCUGAAAGUAUCGUACGAAUAAGGAUCGGCUAACUCCGUGCCAGCAGCCGCGGUAAUACGGAGGAUUCAAGCGUUAUCCGGAUUUAUUGGGUUUAAAGGGUGCGUAGGCGGUCGGAUAAGUUAGAGGUGAAAUCCCGAGGCUCAACUUCGGAAUUGCCUCUGAUACUGUUCGGCGAGAGAGUAGUUGAGGUAGGCGGAAUGUAUGGUGUAGCGGUGAAAUGCUUAGAGAUCAUACAGAACACCGAUUGCGAAGGCAGCUUACCAAGCUACUUCUGACGUUGAGGCACGAAAGCGUGGGGAGCAAACAGGAUUAGAUACCCUAGUAGUC